rnacentral:rRNA from 1 species
AUUGAACGCUGGCGGCAGGCCUAACACAUGCAAGUCGAACGAGUGGCGGACGGGUGAGUAAUGUCUGGGAAACUGCCUGAUGGAGGGGGAUAACUACUGGAACCGGUAGCUAAUACCGCAUACCAUCGGAUGUGCCCAGAUGUGAUUAGCUUGUUGGUGGGGUAACGGCUCACCAAGGCGACGAUCCCUAGCUGGUCUGAGAGGAGGACCAGCCACACUGGAACUGGGACACGGUCCAGACUCCUACGGGAGGCAGCAGUGGGGAAUAUUGGACAAGGGGCGAAAGCCGGAUACAGCCAUGCCGGGUGGAUGAAGAAGGCCUUCGGGUUGUAAAGUACUUUCAGCGGGGAGGCGUUACCCGCAGAAGAAGCACCGGCUAACUCCGUGCCAGCAGCCGCGGUAAUUC